rnacentral:rRNA from 1 species
GCAGUGAGGAAUAUUGGACAAUGGGUGAAAGCCUGAUCCAGCCAUCCCGCGUGAAGGAUGACGGUCCUAUGGAUUGUAAACUUCUUUUAUACAGGGAUAAACCUAGAUACGUGUAUCUAGCUGAAGGUACUGUAUGAAUAAGCACCGGCUAACUCCGUGCCAGCAGCCGCGGUAAUACGGAGGGUGCAAGCGUUAUCCGGAUUUAUUGGGUUUAAAGGGUCCGUAGGCGGACUCGUAAGUCAGUGGUGAAAUCUCAUAGCUUAACUAUGAAACUGCCAUUGAUACUGCGGGUCUUGAGUAAAGUAGAAGUGGCUGGAAUAAGUAGUGUAGCGGUGAAAUGCAUAGAUAUUACUUAGAACACCAAUUGCGAAGGCAGGUCACUAUGUUUUAACUGACGCUGAUGGACGAAAGCGUGGGGAGCGAACAGGAUUAGA